rnacentral:rRNA from 1 species
AGAACGAACGCUGGCGGCAUGCCUAAUACAUGCAAGUCGAACGAACACUUCGGUGUUAGUGGCGCACGGGUGCGUAACGCGUGGGAAUCUGCCCUUGGGUUCGGAAUAACAGUUGGAAACGACUGCUAAUACCGGAUGAUAUCGAAAGAUCAAAGAUUUAUCGCCCAGGGAUGAGCCCGCGUAGGAUUAGCUAGUUGGUGAGGUAAAGGCUCACCAAGGCGACGAUCCUUAGCUGGUCUGAGAGGAUGAUCAGCCACACUGGGACUGAGACACGGCCCAGACUCCGUACGGGAGCAGCAGUAGGAAUAUGGACAAGUGGGCGCAAGCCUGAUCCAGACAAUGCCGCGUGAGUGAGUGAAGUCGUUAAGGGUUAGUAAA